UGAAGAAGCAAUUCCUUGUAGAAGCUGAUGGUCACAGAGCUGGAUCGAAUGGCAACGAAGAUGGUUCAAAGAGCAUCUAUGUGUGACUUAAAGGACUGCUGCCAGAGGGCAAUCAAUGCCUGCCUGGAUGAUUCAGUAAGACGAGGACUCAUUAGGGAUGCAGCAAUUCUACUGCUGCCUUCCAUUUUCAGAGAGGACUCAUCUUUUCUAUACACUCUACUGUAGGAGCCAAGCGUGCCUACUCCAGCAAUCAUGCUCCAUAACACACACGAGGGGAACCCUUUGCAGGCACAAAGGAUAACCCUAUACCUGGAUGGUAUACAGGUUUUGACUGAGGACAGCAGCAUGGACAAAUCAUAUGCUAUGAGUGCAUUAAUGUCACUCUAUAUUGUUUUUGCUGUCCAGUACCCAAAGGAACUGAGAAAAACUCUUAUUUUCAUUGAAAGAUUUGUGUUGGGGAUCAAGGACCACAGUGUUGUACCCAUUUCAGUGAAGAGACUAUACAACUGUGUCAGAAGUGGGGAGUAGUGAGUAGAUGUGUUGCAGCAUGGGAUUUCAUGCUUUAUGUUCUUGUUAAUGGUCAAAUUCCUGCUGCUGCCCUUUGUUUGUACAUAUUGAUAAAAAAAAAUAUCCCUUAUUUAAUACAUAUUUUGGACCAAUACAUUUUGUUUGAUUUUGGCAUAGUGACGUCUCUAGAUUUCCAUUAUUGUUACAAUACGUAACAUUUUGAGUACUUGUUACAUAACACUGAAAAGUAUUUCAACAUUAUUUAAAUCAAUGUGAAAACUUUGUGGGAUUCCCUCACUUUCUCAUGAUUCUGUUCCACUGUCACAAUUAGUACAUACAGUAUGUACACUGAUUCUUUUCAUUGGACCAUGCAUUAUUUUAUUGUUUGUAGAUAGCUUACAAUAAGGCGCAGUAAAUGCAGUAAGUGCACCUUGGAUUGAUUGAACUAAAACUAUUUUGUGUCUCUUUCUGCCAUGUCACCAUUGCUGGAGAUUUAUUUACACAAAUUCACCUACUGAGGACAGCAUGAUGUGUCUGGCCUGUCAUGUUGCUGAUUCCACUGGACCUAUGCUGACUUUUGACCUGUUCUCCCCUGGGACCUACACAGCCUCUCCUGUUUUGUUGGACUAUCUUUAAAUAAAUGUUUUUCUCA